rnacentral:rRNA from 1 species
UGGCGGACGGGUGAGUAACGCGUGGGCAACCUGCCCCGUGCCGGGGGAUACCGCCUGGAAACAGGCGCUAAUACCGCAUAAGCGCAUACAGCCGCAUGGCAGUAUGCGGAAAGCUCCGGCGGCACGGGAUGGGCCCGCGCCCGAUUAGCCAGUUGGCGGGGUAACGGCCCACCAAAGCGACGAUCAGUAGCCGGCCUGAGAGGGUGGACGGCCACAUUGGGACUGAGACACGGCCCAAACUCCUACGGGAGGCAGCAG